GACGAACGCUGGCGGCGUGCUUAACACAUGCAAGUCGAACGGAAAGGCCCUGCUUUUGUGGGGUGCUCGAGUGGCGAACGGGUGAGUAACACGUGAGUAACCUGCCCUUGACUUUGGGAUAACUUCAGGAAACUGGGGCUAAUACCGGAUAGGAGCUCCUGCUGCAUGGUGGGGGUUGGAAAGUUUCGGCGGUUGGGGAUGGACUCGCGGCUUAUCAGCUUGUUGGUGGGGUAGUGGCUUACCAAGGCUUUGACGGGUAGCCGGCCUGAGAGGGUGACCGGCCACAUUGGGACGGAGAUAAGGCCCAGACUCCUACGGGAGGCAGCAGUGGGGAAUAGUGCACAAUGGGCGGAAGCCUGAUGCAGCAACGCCGCGUGGGGGAUGACGGCCUUCGGGGUGUAAACCGCUUUCGCCUGUGACGAAGCGUGAGUGACGGUAAUGGGUAAAGAAGCACCGGCUAACUACGUG
rnacentral:rRNA from 1 species